AGCCUGUGAUGAAUCGCUUUUUAUUUCUGACACCUCGUAUGAAAACUGCACGUGCAGUCUGAUUAUUUUGCAAAACUGAGGCUU
ensembl:snoRNA small nucleolar RNA, C/D box 60